UACAUGGGGUGCAAACGUUGCUCGGAAUUAUUGGGCGUAAAGAGCUCGUAGGCGGUUUGUCGCGUCUGCUGUGAAAACCUAAGGCUCAACCUUGGGCUUGCAGUGGGUACGGGCAGACUAGAGUGCGGUAGGGGUGACUGGAAUUCCUGGUGUAGCGGUGGAAUGCGCAGAUAUCAGGAGGAACACCGAUGGCGAAGGCAGGUCACUGGGCCGCAACUGACGCUGAGGAGCGAAAGCAUGGGGAGCGAACAGG
rnacentral:rRNA from 1 species